rnacentral:rRNA from 1 species
GACGAACGCUGGCGGCAAGCUUAACACAUGCAAGUCGAGCGAGAACCAGGGCUUCGGCCCUGGGGACAGCGGCGAACGGGUGAGUAACACGUGGGUAAUCUGCCCUCGGCAUCGGGAUAGCCCGGGGAAACCCGGAUUAAUACCGGAUAGCCUCCGGAGCCUUCGGGCGCCGGAGAAAAGGUAGCUUCGGCCUCUGGCCGAGGCUGAGCCCGCGGCGGAUUAGCUUGUUGGCGGGGUAACGGCCCACCAAGGCGACGAUCCGUAGCUGGUCUGAGAGGACGAUCAGCCACACUGGGACUGAGACACGGCCCAGACUCCUACGGGAGGCAGCAGUGGGGAAUCUUGCGCUAAUGCGGGAAACCGUGACGCAGCGACGCCGCGUGGGGGAAGAAGGCCUUCGGGUUGUAAACCUCUUUCAGGAGGGACGAAGCUACUCGGGUGAAUAGCCCAGAGGGUGACGGUACCUCCAGAAGAAGCCCCGGCUAACUACGUGCCAGCCGCCGCCGUAAGAC